GAUGAACGCUGGCGGCGUGCCUAAUACAUGCAAGUCGAGCGAACAGACGAGGAGCUUGCUCCUCUGACGUUAGCGGCGGACGGGUGAGUAACACGUGGAUAACCUACCUAUAAGACUGGGAUAACUUCGGGAAACCGGAGCUAAUACCGGAUAAUAUAUUGAAUCGCAUGGUUCAAUAGUGAAAGACGGUCUUGCUGUCACUUAUAGAUGGAUCCGCGCCGCAUUAGCUAGUUGGUAAGGUAACGGCUUACCAAGGCAACGAUGCGUAGCCGACCUGAGAGGGUGAUCGGCCACACUGGAACUGAGACACGGUCCAGACUCCUACGGGAGGCAGCAGUAGGGAAUCUUCCGCAAUGGGCGAAAGCCUGACGGAGCAACGCCGCGUGAGUGAAGAAGGUCUUCGGAUCGUAAAACUCUGUUAUUAGGGAAGAACAAAUGUGUAAGUAACUAUGCACGUCUUGACGGUACCUAAUCAGAAAGCCACGGCUAACUACGUG
rnacentral:rRNA from 1 species